rnacentral:tRNA from 1 species
UGGGGUUGUGGCUCAGUGGUAGAGUGUUUGCAUCACAUGUGUGAGGCACUGAGUUUGAUCCUCAGCACCACAA